rnacentral:lncRNA from 1 species
GUCUGUUCGUAAGCAAAGGUCCCUGAAAUGAUGUUAUCGCGCGAUAACCAGUAGCGAUGAGUCGAUCUCAAACAGUUCUUGUUUAAUGUCUCCUGUAUGGCAACCACCCUCUUUUUAGGAUAGUAUUGUUUGCAAUUGGUUUCCUUCUGACCAUCCUUCAUUAUGCGUGAUUUUCCCUAGUAGAUGGUAUAGGGGUCUUCU